rnacentral:rRNA from 1 species
GACGAACGCUGGCGGCGUGCUUAACACAUGCAAGUCGAACGAAGUGGCGCACGGGUGAGUAACGCGUAUUCCACCUGCCCUUCAGGGGGGGACAACAGUUGGAAACGACUGCUAAUACCGCAUACUGAGGUUGGGGAUUUCGUUUGAUUGGCUAGUUGGGGGGGUAACGGCCCACCAAGGCGAUGAUCAGUAGCCGGUCUGAGAGGAUGAACGGCCACAUUGGGACUGAGACACGGCCCAGACUCCUACGGGAGGCAGCAGUAGGGAAUCGUCCGCAAUGGACGGAAGUCUGACGGAGCAACGCCGCGUGAGUGAUGACGGCUUUCGGGUUGUAAAGCUCUGUUAAUCGGGACGCGGUACCGGAAUAGAAAGCCACGGCUAACUACGUGCCAGCAGCCGCGGUAAUAC